rnacentral:sRNA from 1 species
UUUGCAUUAAAAAAUUUGUGUGAAAAUGCAUCUCUUCAAUUAUUUCGAAAUAGUAGAUUAACUACUACACUAACGAUGAUAUUUAA